GACGAACGCUGGCGGCGUGCUUAACACAUGCAAGUCGAACGGAAAGGCCCUGCUUUUGUGGGGUGCUCGAGUGGCGAACGGGUGAGUAACACGUGAGUAACCUGCCCUUGACUGUGGGAUAACUUCAGGAAACUGGGGCUAAUACCGGAUAGGAGCUCCUGCUGCAUGGUGGGGGUUGGAAAGUUUCGGCGGUUGGGGAUGGACUCGCGGCUUAUCAGCUUGUUGGUGGGGUAGUGGCUUACCAAGGCUUUGACGGGUAGCCGGCCUGAGAGGGUGACCGGCCACAUUGGGACUGAGAUACGGACCAGACUCCUACGGGAGGCAGCAGUGGGGAAUAUUGCACAAUGGGCGGAAGCCUGAUGAAGCAACGCCGCGUGCGGGAUGACGGCCUUCGGGUUGUAAACCGCUUUCGCCUGUGACGAAGCGUGAGUGACGGUAAUGGGUAAAGAAGCACCGGCUAACUACGUG
rnacentral:rRNA from 1 species